rnacentral:rRNA from 1 species
GACGAACGCUGGCGGCGUGCUUAACACAUGCAAGUCGAACGGAAAGGCCCUGCUUUUGUGGGGUGCUCGAGUGGCGAACGGGUGAGUAACACGUGAGUAACCUGCCCUUGACUUUGGGAUAACUUCAGGAAACUGGGGCUAAUACCGGAUAGGAGCUCCUGCUGCAUGGUGGGGGUUGGAAAGUUUCGGCGGUUGGGGAUGGACGCGCGGCUUAUCAGAUUGUUGGUGGGGUAGUGGCUUACCAAGGCUUUGACGGGUAGCCGGCCUGAGAGGGUGACCGGCCACAUUGGGACUGAGAUACGGCCCAGACUCCUACGGGAGGCAGCAGUGGGGAAUAUUGCACAAUGGGCGGAAGCCUGAUGCAGCAACGCCGCGUGCGGGAUGACGGCCUUCGGGUUGUAAACCGCUUUCGCCUGUGACGAAGCGUGAGUGACGGUAAUGGGUAAAGAAGCACCGGCUAACUACGUG